AUGCCUGGCUAAUUUUUGUAUUUUUAGUAGAGACGAGGUUUCACCAUGUUGGCCAUCUGGUCUUGAACUCCUGAUCUCAGGUGAUCUACCUGCCUUGGCCUCCCAACGUGCUGGGAUUACAGGCCUGAGCCACCGCGCCUGGCCUAGUACAACUUCUUUAAAUCAUCACAAAGAGGACCAGGUGCGGUGGUUCAUACCUGUAAUCUCAGCACUUGGAGGCUGAUGUGGGAGAACUGCUUGAGGCCAAGAGUUCAAGAACAGGCUGGGCAACACAGUGAGACCCCAUCUGUACAAAAAAAAUAAAUAGAAUUGGCUGGGCAUGGUGGCACAUGCCUGUAGUCCCAGCUAUUCAGAAGGCUGAGGCAGGAGCACCACUUGAGCCCAAGAGGUUGAGGCUGCUGUGCUGUGAUGGCACCAUGGAACUCCAGCCUGGGCAACAGAGUGAGACCCUGUCUCAAAACAAAACAAAACAAAAACAAAAACAGUUGUGAAGGGCCUCAAGCUUUCUUUGAUUUUGGGCAGAGCUGUGACCUCUCCUUCUGUUCAACCUCCUUACAGAGUUCAAACAUCAAUUCCCCACCCAAGUGGCCUGCUUCCUUGGGUUGCAGAGAUGUUCUUUACAUCUCAGUGCCCACUAUCAACUACUUCCUCGGUCUCUCUCUUCAAUUCAGAUGUAUCAAAUAUUAAUUUCAUUUUUGCCCCCUCUUUAACACAACUUCUGGAAGCAUCUCUUGGCCCAGAGCCAUUUAGGUAAAUUGAAUAGAAAAGGGCCACCUCUGUUUGCCCUUGAGAAUGCAGAUAACAGGGAUCUGACAACCCAGGCAACAGCAGUCCCCCAUGGAAGAGCAGAGAGCUCUUCACCACCACUCCACAGGUUUCUGGAGACCCCGGAGCACUCAUCAAAUCCAGCGUUGGUGAUAAUGACAUUUCAGUCAACCACGGACUGCGCAUAUCAGUGGGUGCAUACGAUUAUAAUGGAGCUGAAAAAUUCCUAUCACCUAGUAUUUACAUUGUAUUUUAUUUUUCUGAGGCAGGGUCUCACUCUGUCACCCAGGCUGGAGUGCAGUGGCACAAUUAUGGCUCACUGCAUCCUCAAACUCCCGGCCUCCCAAGUAGCUG
rnacentral:lncRNA from 1 species